AUUGAACGCUGGCGGCAGGCCUAACACAUGCAAGUCGAGCGAGCGGCGGACGGGUGAGUAAUGUAUGGGGACUGCCCGAUAGAGGGGGAUAACUACUGGAAACGGUAGCUAAUACCGCAUACUAUCGGAUCACCCAUAUGGGCUUAGCUAGUAGGUGAGGUAAGGGCUCACCUAGGCGACGCUCCCUAGCUGGUCUGAGAGGAGGAUCAGGCACACUGGGACGGAGACACGGUCCAGACGCCUACGGAGGCAGCAGGGGGGAAUAUGGCACAAUGGGCGGAAGGCUGAUGCAGCCAUGCCGCGUGUAGGAAGAAGGCCCUAGGGUUGUAAAGUACGUUCAGUCGGGAGGCGUUACCGACAGAAGAAGCACCGGCUAACUCCGUGCCAGCAGCCGCGGUAAUUC
rnacentral:rRNA from 1 species